rnacentral:rRNA from 1 species
AGCCUACGGGACGCAGCAGUGGGGAAUAUUGCACAAUGGGGGAAACCCUGAUGCAGCGAUGCCGCGUGGAGGAAGAAGGUUUUCGGAUUGUAAACUCCUUUUAUCAGGGACGAUAAUGACGGUACCUGAAGAAAAAGCUCCGGCUAACUACGUGCCAGCAGCCGCGGUAAUACGUAGGGAGCGAGCGUUGUCCGGAAUUACUGGUUGUAAAGGGAGCGUAGGCGGCACGGCAAGUCAGAUGUGAAAACUGCGGGCUCAACCUCCAGACUGCAUUUGAAACUGCUGUUCUUGAGUGAAGAAGAGGU